AAUGGGGGCAACCCUGAUCUAGCCAUGCCGCGUGAGUGAUGAAGGCCUUAGGGUCGUAAAGCUCUUUCGCCUGUGAUGAUAAUGACAGUAGCAGGUAAAGAAACCCCGGCUAACUCCGUGCCAGCAGCCGCGGUAAUACGGAGGGGGUUAGCGUUGUUCGGAAUUACUGGGCGUAAAGCGCGCGUAGGCGGAUUAGAAAGUUGGGGGUGAAAUCCCGGGGCUCAACCCCGGAACUGCCUCCAAAACUACUAGUCUAGAGUUCGAGAGAGGUGAGUGGAAUUCCGAGUGUAGAGGUGAAAUUCGUAGAUAUUCGGAGGAACACCAGUGGCGAAGGCGGCUCACUGGCUCGAUACUGACGCUGAGGUGCGAAAGUGUGGGGAGCAAACAGGAUU
rnacentral:rRNA from 1 species